AACGAACGCUGGCGGCAGGCCUAACACAUGCAAGUCGAGCGAAGCCUUCGGGCUUAGCGGCGGACGGGUGAGUAACGUGUGGGAACGUGCCCUUUGGUACGGAAUAGCCCCGGGAAACUGGGAGUAAUACCGUAUGUGGUCGAGAGACGAAAGAUUUAUCGCCAAAGGAUCGGCCCGCGUUGGAUUAGGUAGUUGGUGGGGUAAUGGCCUACCAAGCCGACGAUCCAUAGCUGGUUUGAGAGGAUGAUCAGCCACACUGGGACUGAGACGCGGCCCAGACUCCUACGGGAGGCAGCAGUGGGGAAUCUUAGACAUUGGGGGAAACCCUGAUCUAGCCAUGCCGCGUGAUCGAUGAAGGCCUUAGGGUUGUAAGGAUCUUUCAGUGGGGAAGAUAAUGACUGUACCCACAGAAGAAGCCCCGGCUAACUCCGUGCCAGCCGCCGCCGUAAUAC
rnacentral:rRNA from 1 species